ACUGACAUACAUACACAUACAUAAUUGAGAAAUCCUCGAGGAUAGUGGUGUGCGAUUCCAAGAGCGUCUCAAUAAAAUUAGUGGCCAAACAUAUACACAUAUUGACAUACAUACACAUAUAUAAUUGAGAAAUCCUCGAGGAUAGUGGUGUGCGGUUCCAAGAGCGUCUCAGUAAAAUUAGUGGCCAAACAUAUAUGUGAUAUAUUUCAGUUUUUGCUGGUGUGAGUAUAGAGCUGAUUGAUCCUUCAUUAAUUAAUCUGAGUACGGAAUUCCAAUUCUGAUUUUUUUUUUUUGGGGGAUUGUUUAGCGAUGAUAUAGCAGGUAUUUUUGAUGUUCUAGAUAGUUUGCAGUAGAUCUGAGAGUUAGCACAGAGAAAUAGUGAAUGACCUUUGGUUUCUAUAUCUGUACAGUGUUACACAUUGAAAAGUUUUAAUGAAGCUGAUAAAAUCGGUGUGCUUUUCAUGGAGGAGUUCUUCCUCUAUAUAUACAGGAUGCUACACAAAGUGUAGUUGAAUACAAACUCUCUAAGCGAUAAACUAUACUUGGUAUUAUCCUUCCUCUAGAUAAACUAUACAUAUGAAUUCUAGUUAAAUACAACUAAACAAACGUGAGGAUAAGCUCACUGUUGAGAUGUCCUAACAUGCCCCCGCAAGCUGAGCAGUGGCUGUGCAACUGUAAGCUUGGAACGAAGGAGAUGAAACCGACAAGAAGGAAGGCUCUUGGUAAUGAUGUCUGCUAACUGAUCCAAGGAAUUGAUGUAGCGAACGUCCAGCUGUUAUGGACUUAUCACUUGCAGUAGUAGGUAGAGAAGAAGAAUUACAAGGAGCAAUGACGGGCAAAAAGGACACGACAGUAGAGUUGGAGGUCGGUGUGCUACUGGGAGUUGAAGAUGAGCUAGCAAAGGGAAAUUGUAACUCGUCAAAACCACAUGCCGAGAGACAUAUAUUCGACCACUUGGACAUGUAAACAUUGAUAGCCUUGUGAUGUCCACUAUACCCCAAGAAAACGCAUUGUAAGGAUCGAAAUGCUAGCUUGUGAGAGUUAUAGGGAUGAAGGAAUGGGUAGCACGCGCAGCCAAAGACUUUCAUGAAUUGAUAAUCAGGAACCUUUUUGUACAACUUCUCAUAAGGUGAAACAUUAGUGAGCGAGAGUGAGGGGAUACGAUUUAUAGCGUAAACUGCCGUAGCAAAGGCAUGAUCCCAAAAGGUGAGAGGAAGGGGGGAGGCGUGUGCGAGAAGUGUUAAACCCAUUUCAACAAUAUGACGAUGUUUUCUUUCAGCGGUACCAUUUUGUUCAUGAGUAUGGGGACAAGAGAGCUGAUGAACGAUCCCUGCUUCAAAGAAAAAAGUUGGAUAAUUUCCUAUAUUCGCCACCCCAAUCAGAUUGUACCACUUUUAUAUGACGCUCAAAGAACUUCUCGACUUGAGUUUUAAAGUGUAAAAAUAUGGUAUAAACCUCAUUUUUGGAACUCAUAGGAAAUAACCAUGUAAAUUUGCUAAAGUCAUCAAUGAAAGAAACACAAUAACGAAAUUUAUUGCUAGCUAACUGUGGAGUAGGGCCUCAUACAUCAGUGUGGAUCAAUUCAAGAGGGCAAGUAAAGACUAGAACUAGAAAUAGAAAAAGGCAAUUUGUGACUCUUUGCCAUAUUGGCAAGAAGAACAAACAAGUGACCUAAACGACUAUGCCAUAAAUCAAAUGAUUGCUUGGACACAUGGAACGCCUCUAAUUUAUUUGAGGGAGAGGGUUGGUUGAGUAACUGGGCAGCAAAGAGACGAUAAAGGCCAUGCGCAAGAGUCCCGCGCAUUAGUAAUUUCCCCGUUGCCCGAUCCUUCACAAGACAAAAACGACGGUGAAACUCAAAUAUAACAUUAUUAUCAGUAGUAAAUUUUGCCACACUAAGCAAAUUCUUGGUAAUUUCAGGCACCAGUAAUACAUUAGUUAGACGUAAAUAUCGACUAACUGUAGGUAAAGUAGCAUUACAAAAAUGAGAAAUUGUCAAACCUGUGCCAUUAUCGCAUGAAUUUGAUCAGUUCCCAGAUACUCUCCUCUUACCGCCAUGUUCAGCAUAUCAUUAGUUAAAUGAUGAGUAGCCCCAAAAUCCGGAUAACAAUUUAGGUCUCCAACCGUGGAAGGUUGUGCAAUGAGAGCAGCCAUGUGCGACUUGGAUGGAGCUUGAUAUGCAUGAUCGAAACGAUGGUAGCAAUUUAGGGUCGAGUGACCAAACUUAUUGCAAACUUGACACUGAUUUUUGGUUGGACGAGUUGGUAUUGCGACCCCGACCUCGUCCUCGUCCAGAUUUGCCACCAUAAGCCUGAUUGUUAUGGACAUUAGUAGGCUUCUUAAAUGAGUUAUCAUUCUUGGUGUUGCUGGAUUGUCUAGCAGACAAGUUGACUUGGCCCAAACCUUGUUCCAAACUUGUCAUCUGUUCCAAACGAUACUUAUGACUUAAAAGCAAGCCAUGGAGAUCGGCUAAUGAAAUUAGUUCCGCACUAGCAGUGACUGAGACAACCAGGGCAUCAUAUUUUUGCCCAAGUCCUCCAAGAAUAUAUAAGACAAGAUCAUCAACAGUGACGGGGUGUGCUGCGACGGCGAGAUUAUCGGCACAAGUCUUCAUUCUUUUGAAGGUAUUCUACUAUGGAUGCUGCAGCCUUAGUUGCAUUAUCCUAGCCUUGGAUUGCGACGCAAACAUUGUCUCAAGCGCUCACCGAACCGUCUGAGAUGUUGUGCAACCGACUACUUGGGCUAAAAUCCCUUCGCUGAGGGUGAAGUUGGUCUUGUUUGAUCCAUAAACUGUACGAUGGGUUGAUAACCGCGCCAGUUGAGGUUGCUUCAGAAAAGCUAUGCGAAAUUACCUUUGGAGGGCAUUUGUGCGUACCAUCCACAUAUCCCUCAAGUUCAUAACCCCUUAGAACUGGGAGAAUUUGUGAUUUCCAUAAGAUAUAGUUAUUACGGUCCAAUUUGAGAAGAUGAGACUAGUUAAUGUUCGUCGCGAACGACGAAGGAUUCUGGGAAGGGGUUUGCGAGGUGAUGCUGGUAAUGGAGGGAAGUGUCAUUGUGAGACCUGAGUCUUCGCAAGGCUCCGAUACCAUGACAAGGUUUAAUGAAGCUGAUAAAAUCGGUCUGCUUUUCAUGGAGCAGUUCUUCCUCUAUAUAUAUAGGAUGCUACACAAAGUGUAGUUGAAUACAAACUCUCUAAGAGAUAAACUAUACUUGGUAUUAUCCUUCCUUUAGAUAAACUAUACAUAUGAAUUCUAGUUAAAUACAACUAAACAAACGUGAGGAUAAGCUCACUGUUGAGAUGUCCUAACACACAUAUACACAACACUUACACUGAUACACAUACAUUUUUUUUGCUGAUAACGGAGAAAAUCUCGGUUCUAGACAAACGUAAAUACAUAUAUUCAGUUUUUUUCAUUUAUAUUUUAACAAUCAAAUGUUAGAUUAUGGAGACGUUGUUGUAGGUGAGUUUAUCACCUUUCAAUGUUUUGAUUUGCUUCGAAAUGGAGUGAAAUGCUUUGAGUAUGAAGUGAUAAUAUAUACUCCCUCUGUCCCAAUUUAUGUGGCACCAUUUCCUUUUUGGUCUGUCCCAAAAAGAAAGUUUAGAAACAAUUUAACUUUAUGAGAUGAUUUACAACCACACAUGUAUAUAAGGCUUGUUUUGGACCGCAUAUUUCAAAAGUAUUCCUUUCUUUGUUAAAUUCCGUGCCAAGUCAAAUGGUGCCACAUAAAUUUGGACGGAGGGAUUAUAUAGACACAAACACACACAUAUAAGUUGUGUGUGUAUGUGUGUUUAUUUUUCAUGUAAAUUGUUAGAUUCUGGAUUGUUGAGAGCUAGAGUGUUGCUGUAUGUAAGUUUAUCUCCUUCAUUAUUUUGUGUGUGCUGUUGAAAUUGCAUUGCUUCAAAAUGGAGUUGGAGGCUUUGAGUACAAACUGAUUUGGAUUGUUUUUUGAUGAUUUUGUCUGUGAGAAUUUUUGAUGUUCUAUAUAGUUCACAGUAGAUCCGGAAGUUAGCAUAGUGAAUGGCCUUUUGCUUUCUGCAUGUGUACACAUAUACACAACCCAUACACUGAUAUACAUACACACAGAU